rnacentral:rRNA from 1 species
AUGGUCGAAUGCUUCAAUAGGGUGCUCAAAGGUGCACGUGGAUUACCCGUGACGGCAAUAGUUAAAUACACAUUUGACAAGAUGAAUGCGUACUUUCUAAAGUACUCGAUGGAAACGGAUGCACACAUAGCGGGUGAGAACCCGCGCAAGUACAAGUACAAGUUCCCACCCAAGGUUGAUGAAUGGUUGGAAUUUCAAUCACGGAAGGCAGACUCAGAAGAAGCUAUAUUAUAUGACAACAAAGAGUGGAAGUACGAAGUGAAAGAGCCAGGAGGAACCACAAACGAUGGUCGUCAACAUGGAGGUCGGGCUUUCAAGGUGUCAUUAACACAAUGUGAUUGCUCUUGCGGGAGGCCAUUGUUGCUUCAUCUCCCAUGCUCACACUUGUAUACCACCAGUCGAGUUAGGAAUGUGGACAUCAAUCACCCACGCACCAUGAGGGAGUCAUUCUCAAUCAUGACGGUCAAGAAAACAUGGUCUCCCCGCUUUCACCCAUACUUUGACCAAUCAAAAAGGCCGGAGUACCAUGGAGUUCAACUAUGGCCGGAUCCA